UCUACCUGUUAGUAAUGGAAUGUCAUAUAAUAUGAUAAUCUUACCAUCAGACUUUGAUUACUAUAUUUGUUUUGACAUAAUGCCCAGAACUGUGUGCGUCAUGACGCAAUCAGAUGCGUGUUUGGGAAAUCCCGAAUUGUAAUAACGCAUUUAUCAUUGACGGUCUAGCCUACUACACCUUUAAGACGUCGACAUUGUGCGAAUUGGGAGUGGGUAUAUGUUCGACAGUAAAAUCCCAACACUUCGCAAUGGGAAAACUGUGAAGAGGACCCUCUGCGCUGACCACUAAUUAUAGAAAAGGUUUGAAAUAAUGUGCACCAAAAGGCUAUAUUGCCAUAAUAACUAUGUCUGAAAAGUGAUACGGAAACCAUUACAUGCAUGUGGGAUGAGGUUUGCGCAAUGGACGCACAAGGGUCUUGGUCUGCAUACGUCAACAUAUUUUGUGACAGUUUCCAGGGCUGACAUGUUUACGUUUUGAUUUGCCUCUAGAAUGUUGUAUUUUAAUCGUCUCUGACAUUUGACAGAAAUGUAUUCCCGAUCAGCAGGGAAAUUGUGCUGCUAAAGUGUGAAAUAUGUUUACAGUUGAUUUUCUUGAGUUUUGUUAUCUACCACAUUCUCCAUUUUAACUCCGUCUUUAGCCAGCGACAACGAUAUUUAUCUCAUCGAAACAAAAAUAUCUGCCGGUAUCCUGCAUGUUGUACUGUUGUGGAAGCAAGGACAGGGAGAAGCAGCGCCCGGACGCUGCAGAGGUGUCGAGAAUUCUAGAGACAGAGAAAAACCGAAAGAGCCAAGAAAGCGCACCUCAACCACUGGACAUGUACGGAAUAGCGGCAAUGCCCGAGCUUCUACCACCCUCUGGCGUACUUCAGCCCAGCUCAGUAAUCCCACUCGAGUCGGGUGAGGUACCUGGUUUGUGGAAUGGAUUCAACAGGGGUGUGCUGAGUUUUGACUCCCCCCAGCGGAGACGAGGCCAACGGGCCCCGAAGUUAGGGCAAAUAGGACGGUCGAAGAGAGUGGUUAUAGAGGAUGACGACUUGGAUGAUGUCAUGAAACACAAUGGCCUCCCCAUAUCAAUCAAUAUCUCUCCUGUUGCCUGAACAACUCUGAUAGUGUCCAGACCUCAAGAGGCUAUUGUGCUCAUUUGUGAAAUUCUGAAGUGUGUACCACUUGUUUCUGGACAAUGUCCAAUUCAGGUGCCCAUUGCAAAGUUUACAAUAGUAGCAUGCGCAUCACAUGUAGUUUAGCUCUUCCUGGACACAGGAAGGUCAGUGUCCCAAGGAAAUAGAAGUACAAAACAGUGCAUCUUUGCUUCAGCUGCUGUUCUGGUGUUGAAGGGGGGGACUUUGUGUCCUGAGGAGAGGGGAGCAAUUAGGAUAGAUUUGGGUCCGGACAGGCUGAAACAUAAGCACACAAGAGAAGGCCCUACCCAUCAAGACCUGUCCCUUCAAAAUGAGUGGACCUGUUUGUUUGUUGUUCAGUCUUCAGUGUCUAUAUUUUAAACACUCCAUCCAAGAUGUUAUUUUAAUUUGUGUCAAUCCAACCUAUAUCUAAUUGAGAAAACUGCUACUCAUAGUGCUGGGCAGUGUUUUCACAAUAUUAUUUAUUUUACAUAAUGUACGCUUUUUCAGUGUUUCACAUAUGUUGACAACACUUAUUUUAGUUUUUGACAGUUGACAACACUGUCUCGUUUUGGUGCAAACUAAUUGUAAAAUCUGUUGUAAAACGUGUUAGAUAAACUGAAGGCUUUAAUUUGCCAUUGUAACAUGUCACAAUCAUUGUCUUAGUAUACCAUAUGUUGUACUGUAUGUUACUUUUACCCCUGAGUUGCUAGACAAAAAGAGUUCCCACUGUGAACUAUUCAUGGAACUUUAUGUAUCCCUGCAUCAAGGUGUAAUAUACACAUUUUUUACAACCAGCUUCCUGUUAUAUUCUUCACCAUAAUGCCACAUCUGUUAGAAAAGUCAUGUGGCAUUCAGAUAAGUAGCCUAACUGAUGUUAAACCCAGCUAUGAAGAAGGUCGCUACAUGGAGGAGCAACUCAAGGAAAUUGGUGUAAGACUUACCGAGCUGUGAGGAAUACAUUGUUUUGAUGUAACCAUU